rnacentral:rRNA from 1 species
CCUACGGGAGGCAGCAGUGAAGAAUAUUGGACAAUGGGCGCAAGCCUGAUCCAGCCAUGCCGCGUGCAGGAUGACGGUCCUAUGGAUUGUAAACUGCUUUUGUACAGGAAGAAACACUCGGACGUGUCCGAGCUUGACGGUACUUAAGAAUAACAUCCGCC